GGCAGGUCCAAUGGUAGUGGGUUUCAGGAAAAUUAUUAGCACUAGUGUCGCUAAACUUGGUAUAUAGCCCCACACACAGCUGAAAUUGACUAUAA
rnacentral:Y_RNA from 1 species